UUUUGGGGUUUUUUUUUUUUUUGUCAAGGCAAACUGAACAGAUAAGGAACAGGCAAAAUGCAGCAUUUAAGUUAGGUAGAAACAAGUUAACGUGGCCAUCUCUCAAGCCCUGGUAGGGGCAGCAGCGGAGGAAAGGCAGGCUGCUGGAGGAGGGCGGGGCAGGGCUCCAAGCAGUCGAUGGAGCUCUGGUUGCAGGGCAGGGAAAAGCUGGUCUGUUGGGGAGGCCUGACUCUGCACGGCUUGGCCCGUGAGGUGGCAGCGGGGACAGAAAUACAGUCAAGUAACCAAUUAUUUGUGCAGCCAGUCCAUGGGCUGCCGGAGGGGCAAUUGUACAUGUGUCGGGCGAUGAUGUAACGGUCAGCUGAGGCUGGAGAAACGUGGGAGGGGUGGACGACAGGGAAGAGGCUGGGAUCGGGUAGGCGCAUUUCUCCACAACGAGGUAUAAUAGUGCAAGAUGUCCAAAGGACCAUUGUCACGGCGGCCAUGGGCUGUAGAAGGGCACAGGCUGCCUCCGUAUGCUGUGGCAUGGGAGCACGGGCCAAGGGGCUAUAAGCCUAACAGAGAGCAAGUGAAACGAGACUGACCUCCAGCAUCCCAGAGAACAAACGGCUCAGGAUAGCUAAUGGACUGCCGUCACAAUGGCCAUGGGCCAUGGAGGGCAUAGGCCCAAGGGGCUUAGAACCCGAAAGAGAAGUGGUACCAGCACCAUGAUCAAGAGAGACGAGCCAAUCCUCAGUUGUGGGAAAAUGGCCAAAAGGAAAGGGAAGAAUCCUACCGAUCCAAUAGGGUCAAGAGUUUUCCGUGGUCCUCCAUCAGGAAAAAUAAUGUAUGAGUGUUUGCCUACAUCCAUGUGCUCCACAUGUAUGAAGAAAGUGCCCAGUGAAGGCCAGAAGACGGUGUCGGAUGCCCUGGUACUGGAGUUGUGAGCUGCCAUAUGUGAGCAGGCAGCUUCGUGCUCCUGAUGCCAAAGGCACAAGCAGGCUACUUCCGCCACCAUGGCUUCACCCCAUAAGAGACCAUGAAUCCGAAGCAUGA